rnacentral:lncRNA from 1 species
UUAGGCUUAAAAGCACAAAGCAGUUUACAGCACUUUCAUUCAUAGGUCUCAAAAAGUGCAGUGCAGGGAGGAGCAUCUGGUAAUCCCUACUGUAGAAGGGAAAACAAUGGCCCAGAGCAUUGUAUCACUGAGUAGCCAAGUUGGGAAUCCCACCCGAAUCAAUCCUGUCUCUGGACAAAGCUGUGACUUCCCUAUGAAUACAACAGUUCUGUCUUGUUCUCAGAUGCCCAUACCAAAGCAAUUACUGUAUGGAAGAUGCUGACUGGCUGGAAGAACCUGUCCAUUCUGGGUCUGUAAUGGAGUCUGUGAGGAGAUCAGCUUCCUGGUGUGGAAGAAGGAAGAUGUCAGAGCUCUCCUGCAGAGUUAACAUGCCCGACACAGAGACCAACUUAGUCAUUAUAGGACUCCAGGAUCCUGGCCAGAUGGAGCAAGAGAGGCUGCCAAAUCCGUCAGGUUGAUGGAGCCAGCAGGCUGCUCCACCUGACUGUCUGGAAGCAUUCUUUUGCUCUCUUGGGAGGUUCUCAGCGCGUCUCCAUUUCCUCUGAAAGAAGGUUCACCCAUGACUGCCAACAUCUCUGUCAGGUCUUCUUUCCAUGGGUGCUGCCAUUGCAAAACCCAGAGACCCAUGGCUCUUCUUAGCACUGUUUUAGCCAUCUCCCAGCUGCAUAAGCCCUGAAAAUUUCCAAAAUGUAGAUAAGGAAGCAGAUGAACACAGCAGAAGAGACAUAGGCUCUUGGCUAGUGCUAUAGCUGCUUUAUAGAGAUAGAGGAGAUUGUCUUCUCAAAAAUUCCUCAUAUAUCUCACAACCUGGUGAAGACAACAACAAACCGUAUUUUUCUGUUCUUUUAAAGGAAAAGAACUUCUUUGUCAACACUGAGAAGAGAUCCUGAAGAAUCCCGAGGUGCGUGAGGAGGUAACAAGAAGACAGCUGAAAUUUAUGUUAUUUUAAGUUUCUAUGCUAAUCUCAAGAAUGAUCGUGCUGAGAAAGUAAAUCCUUUGCAAAUGCUCAUGAAUCUCUGGUAUUCAGGUGCCCUGCAGGAGAGAUGCAGAGACAUAGAAAAGAUUUUCAGCACUUGAUCUCAGCAUGUGGUUCUCAUUUGGUGCUGUGUUCUGCCUGUUCCUUGCCUGGGACAGUGUUCAGAACAAGUGGGGUUUUCAAAAGUGAUCCACAUAGGGGAGAGCAAGAAAAUUCCUGUUUCUCCCCCUACCCAGUCUAAACAGAUUGCUCCAACUGCACCUCCUCUUCUGGAUCCUCCUCCCAAGUACAGGUGAAGAAUGUUUUUUCACAAGAUUUGGAAGCUGAUGCUUGUACAUCACUUGCAUUGACAGUUCUGUUAUCCAUCUGGAGUCAUGCCCUACUGUUGCUCUGUCUGAUGGGUAGUGUUGUCUCUUACUGUGUUUCAGGCUCGUUUUACACCUGAAAGUGCUAUCCUAAGUGCGUACAUGGCAGUGAGGUGGAGCUCCGAAAUAGGAGAGAGGGACAGAGAAAAAGAAGAGGUGGAAAAAAGCACCAGCAACAAGCCCAGCAAGUUCACUGAAUGCAUAAGCAGUACCAUCAGUGUGUGCUUGUGAAAUACUUAGUUGGAGAGAGUAGCCUUACUGGUUCUGGCUGAUUCAAACAAUAGGUCUCUUUUACCUGUCAUUAACAUGUGAGAUGUUCACCCUGGCCAGGAAAUCUGUCACUUUUUGUCCAGUUCACUGUAGCUUGUCACACACUGAAAAGACAUGCAACUCCAUGCUCUUUUCUCUCUUUCCUUAAUGCAGAGGUUCCCAAACCAUGACAAAGACCCCUAUCAACCUUCUUUAAGUCUUUUGGAGCACUUAGACCUUUAUUGUUCAACUCUGAAUAGAGAGCUUUUAAGAAUACUUGGUUCUUCAGGACAACUAGACUUUUAUAACCUCACCAGCCAUCCAUAGAUCAAGGGUGGGAAGUUCUGUUUUGGCCAAAAAGGUGCCAAUUUUUGAUUAUUUUCUCUUUGAUUUUUAAAAUACAACAAGAAUUCUGGUGAAGAAGAACUGCAUCUAAUAAGGAGCAAAGGAUUAAUGAAGAAGAAAAUGGGAGAUCUUUUUUUGCUGACGUGGAAAGGGAGAAAAAAAUAAAACGGCUGCUUGUGGAAACA